AUGCCCAAGAGGAAGGCUGAAGGGGGUGCUAAAGGAGACAAAGCCAAGGUGAAGGACAAACCACAGAGAAGAUCUGCAAGGUUGUCUCUGCUAAACCUGCUCCUCCAAAGCCAGAGCCCAAGCCUAAAAAGGCCCCUGCAAAAAAGGGAGAAAAGAUACCCAAAGGGAAAAAAGGAAAAGCUGAUGCUGGCAAGGAGGGGAAUAAGCCUGCAGAAAAUGGAGAUGCCAAACAGAGCAGGCCCAGAAAGCUGAAGGCACUGGAGAUGCCAAGUGA
rnacentral:lncRNA from 1 species